GUGCUAGCUUCAGCAGCACGUCUACUAAAAUUGGAACAAUACAGAGGUUAGCACAGCCACUGCGCAAGGAUGACAUGCAAAUCUGCAAUGCAUUCCAUAUUUUU